rnacentral:rRNA from 1 species
AGUGAACGCUGGCGGUAGGCCUAACACAUGCAAGUCGAACGGCAGCACAGUAAGAGCUUGCUCUUACGGGUGGCGAGUGGCGGACGGGUGAGGAAUACAUCGGAAUCUACUUUUUCGUGGGGGCUAACGUAGGGAAACUUACGCUAAUACCGCAUACGACCUACGGGUGAAAGCAGGGGAUCUUCGGACCUUGCGCGAUUGAAUGAGCCGAUGUCGGAUUAGCUAGUUGGCGGGGUAAAGGCCCACCAAGGCGACGAUCCGUAGCUGGUCUGAGAGGAUGAGCAGCCACACUGGAACUGAGACACGGUCCAGACUCCUACGGGAGGCAGCAGUGGGGAAUAUUGGACAAUGGGCGCAAGCCUGAUCCAGCCAUACCGCGUGGGUGAAGAAGGCCUUCGGGUUGUAAAGCCCUUUUGUUGGGAAAGAAAAGCAGCAGGUUAAUACCCCGCUGUUCUGACGGUACCCAAAGAAUAAGCACCGGCUAACUUCGUG